UUAAACUAUUUUAUUUUUACUUAACUAAACAAAAAUAUAACAAACUAAGCCUGGAUCUAAAUAAUAAAUAAUAUCCUCGAAGAAUCUUAGGGCACUUGCAGGGCGGGCGCUGCUUUGGUGCCACUAAAUCUCGAUAGAAUGGUGCCUCUCAUACAAAAUCUAUGAGUGUCAGUGGAUUCCCACAAUUUGGCUGAGAAUCCGGUUGGAUGCACCACACUCCAAUGCGAAGCAGCUUCUCGGCCUUAGAGACCGAAGCUUCUCAAACCGCCAGGAACUUUGGGCUCCUCCCGCAAGACACACAGGUAUGGAAAGCGCCACUUCCAGCACAAGGAUCCCAAAGCUGUAGAUGUCCAGUUUGUCUCUCACUCGCAUCUGCAACCAUUCCGGAGCCAUGUAUCCGGGUGUUCCUCAGAUCAUUGUCAUGACAUCGCUUAGAUCUCCUUGCUCUACCAUCCUCGACAGUCCAAACUCUGCUAUCUUGACACCAAAGUUUUCGUCCAGGAGUAGGUUUUGCGGCUUGAUGUCCAAGUGCAGAACUCUAGUGCUGCAUUCCUCGUGGAGGUAGCACAUCCCUCGAGCAAUCUCCUCGACUAUCUUGAAUCUCGUGUCUUCCCGCGGCUUGUACCCGUUUGCUACGUACUCGUAAACCAGGAAGUAGUGUGAUUCCUGGGAAAAAAAGCCUUUGAGUCUUACAAGGUUCUUGUGAUGGAUGAUUCCGAUCGCUCUCACCUCCGCCUUGAACUGUUUGUAUCCUUGGCUCGAGAAGCUCUCCAGCCGUUUCACGGCAACGGAGAGUAUCCCUUCGAAAACCGUGCCAACGCCUCCACUUGCGAUUUUCGCACUGAAGGCUUUGGUUGCAGUGAGGAGCUCCGGGUAAUUAAAGACGCGCACCAACGAUGGUUUGUAGUGUUUGAGGUACGAGUUUAUCUGUUUCUUCCAGGUCACCAUUGCGAUGAUGAUUAUAGCCAUGGUCGCCACAGAGAAAACCGCGACGAUGGCUGGCUUUGCCUGUUUUUGCUACUUGGCGACUUUGUGAGUUGCCUGGUGUUGAGAGCUUUGGAAGAUCUCCAGCUUGGUACAACUUGAUCGAAAACAGCAAAGCUUCAUCGACGACGUUGCGAGUUUUGUUCAGAGAAAAAACUUCGGUCAUCUGGAAACAGGUAGUUGUUUCUCCUGGCUUAGCACCCCUUUGCAGGAACAGUUUUUGAUACACAGGGCCAUGCACGCUGCUGGAGUGACGUUGUGGAGCGCACUGGAUAAAUCUAGAGGUUUGUAGAAGUAUCGUACUGUGGCUUCGAGCAUGUAGUGAUGUUGCGAGUUCUCGCAGGUUCUUCCAGGUGCUUGCAUCCCUCCUUGUCCCCGGAAGAAACGUACUUCGUGAACGAUGCAGAGGUAUCCUUCAGCUGUCUCGAACGAGAUCCCACAGGUUCGAGUAAGCGAGCUUUUCCCAAAGAAGAGCGGGUUUAAGUUGAUGCUCUUCGUGCUGUUGCCGGUGCUGAAUGAUCUCGAGUAACACCACCGAUCGUUGGAGUGGACCACAUAACACCUUUCGUCCCGUGGAUUUCCAAGCUGCUAUUGACGAGGAAGAGAAAUGAUAUCUCUUCUUCUUCCUCAUCGGAGCUCCAGACCUCUCCAAAAGAUUCUCAACAUACUGGAGUUCAAAGCGACCGAGAAGCGGCUACCUCGAGUGAGAAGUACCCUGGCUCUUUGUUCUCCUUAGAGAUGCUGGCUACUAACUUCAUCCCAGGGAGCACAGCAUCACAGGGAUGAUCAAAGCUCUGCCACAGGAAAUCUCCAAUUUUGCUCCGGAUGACGAGAUUUCCAGAGCUCUCGAGGGCCAAGACUUGCGCUCCAGAUCCUCCUGUGUUGGUCGACCACACAAAGCUUCCAAUGUCACUGGAAGCGCCAUCUUCCUCCAAGCUCCACUCUCGAAUCCACUCCAGAUAUUUCGAAUUAGCCUUGGCUUUAGCACCCCUUCCUGCCUCCUACUUAGCUGCUGGGAGCAAACCUCCCAAGAGUUCCAGUUCUACUUGUCAGUCUUCUACGCCAUGGACGACAAGGAGAGUUUCAAUCUCUACUAUCUAGCAGCGCUGACAUGGCGAGCUACGCGAAAACCGUCCCGGAAGGAGCGUACCUCAGCUUUACCAGCGAUGGCGACCUGGUGCUGAGCGACGUGAACUAGAAUGAGGACUUGUUCAAAGCUACUUGUCUCCCAAUGGACGAUCCAGCAGCAGUGGCAUGGCAAGCUACCUUACAAACUCAGUUGAAAAAAGUAAAAGUAUAGCGAAAAUCUUGUAAAAAUAUAAAAGUUGUAGAGAGUA